rnacentral:sRNA from 1 species
UUCCUGAUGUUUAGUCAAAAUCUUCUUUCUUGUAACUUGAAGCCAUUGGUUUGAGUCCUACUCUCUGGAGCAGGAGAAAACAAGCUUGCUCCCUCUUCCUUGUGACAGCCCUUCAGAUAUUUGAAGACAGCUAUCAUAUCUCCUCUGAGUCUCCUCUUUUCCAGGCUAAACAUACCCAGCUCUUUUA